rnacentral:misc_RNA from 1 species
UAAAAUCUCUAGGGAAUUUGAUGCAAACUCCUUUAAAGUGUCGUAUGAAUAUAUAUGACAUCUCUUGUCCCUGAGAAUUAAAAUUUAAAAUAAGAUGAGCAAAGUUAUUUUUUGUUUUAUGAUAGGAUGCGUGCACCAUAAAUUGUAUCCUAAGUGGUGUUUGGAUAAAAUCUCCAAGGAAUUUGUUGUUGUUGACAUGGGGUAUGGUUUGACUUUUAAAUAUUGUUUGAAGAGAA